UUUGCGUCACGUCCGCCCCGCCCGCUGCCACUUGUGGAUCUGCCGCUCUAGCCCCCGGCGGAGCCAGCUGCUGCUCUUCGGUGCUGGCCCAGGUGCCGGCCCCGUUGCCCAGGGAACGGGCUCCCGGCAGCCCCCGCGGCCCGGAGUCCAUCCCCGCCUCCUCCGGCCCGGUGGGGCCGACGAGUCUGGAGGGGCUGCCGCGGGAGCCCCCAGGUUUCCCUAGAUGACAAAUAAACAUUCCUUUUCCUGCGUGAAGAUCGUCUGUGGAAACCUUGGCCAUGGCAUCGAUAUCAGAGCCUGUUACAUUCAGAGAGUUCUGCCCGUUGUACUAUCUCCUCAAUGCCAUUCCGACAAAGAUCCAGAAGGGUUUCCGCUCUAUCGUGGUCUAUCUCACGGCCCUCGACACCAACGGGGACUACAUCGCAGUGGGCAGCAGCAUCGGCAUGCUCUAUCUGUACUGCCGGCACCUCAACCAGAUGAGGAAGUACAACUUCGAGGGGAAGACGGAAUCUAUCACUGUGGUGAAGCUGCUGAGUUGCUUUGAUGACCUGGUGGCAGCAGGCACAGCCUCUGGCAGGGUUGCAGUUUUUCAACUUGUGUCUUCAUUGCCAGGAAGAAAUAAACAGCUUCGGAGAUUUGAUGUCACUGGUAUUCACAAAAACAGCAUUACAGCUCUGGCUUGGAGCCCCAAUGGAAUGAAACUGUUCUCUGGAGAUGACAAAGGCAAAAUUGUUUAUUCCUCUCUGGAUCUAGACCAGGGGCUCUGUAACUCCCAGCUGGUGUUGGAGGAGCCGUCUUCCAUUGUGCAGCUGGAUUAUAGCCAGAAAGUGCUGCUGGUCUCUACUCUGCAAAGAAGUCUGCUCUUUUACACUGAAGAAAAGUCUGUAAGGCAAAUUGGAACACAGCCAAGGAAAAGUACUGGGAAAUUUGGUGCUUGUUUUAUACCAGGACUCUGUAAGCAAAGUGAUCUAACCUUGUAUGCAUCACGGCCCGGGCUCCGGCUGUGGAAGGCUGAUGUCCACGGGACUGUUCAAGCCACAUUUAUCUUAAAAGAUGCUUUUGCCGGGGGAGUCAAGCCUUUUGAACUGCACCCACGUCUGGAAUCCCCCAACAGGGGAAGUUGCAGCUUACCUGAGAGGCACCUGGGACUUGUUUCGUGUUUCUUUCAAGAAGGCUGGGUGCUGAGUUGGAAUGAAUAUAGUAUCUAUCUCCUAGACACAGUCAACCAGGCCACAAUUGCUGGUUUGGAAGGAUCCGGUGAUAUUGUGUCUGUUUCGUGCACAGAAAAUGAAAUAUUUUUCUUGAAAGGAGAUAGGAACAUUAUAAGAAUUUCAAGCAGGCCUGAAGGAUUAACAUCAAUAGUGAGAGAUGGUCUGGAGAUGUCUGGAUGCUCAGAGCGAGUCCACAUGCAACAAGCAGAGAAGCUACCAGGGGCCACAGUUUCUGAGACGAGGCUCAGAGGCUCUUCUGUGGCUAGCUCCAUGGCCAGUGAGCCAAGGAGCAGGAGCAGCUCGCUCAACUCCACCGACAGCAGCUCCGGGCUCCUGCCCGCUGGGCUCCAGGCCGCCCCUGAGCUGGGCAAAGGCAACCAGCCCCCCUCACAGAGAUUCAACGCCAUCAGCUCAGAGGACUUUGACCAGGAGCUUGUCGUGAAGCCUAUCAAAGUGAAAAGGAAGAAGAAGAAGAAGAAGACAGAAGGUGGAAGCAGGAGCACCUGUCACAGCUCCCUGGAGUCUACACCCUGCUCCGAAUUUCCUGGGGACAGUCCCCAGUCCUUGAACACAGACUUGCUGUCAAUGACCUCAAGUGUCCUGGGCAGUAGCAUGGAUCAGUUAAGUGCAGAGUCUCCAGACCUGGAAAGCGGCUUCAGUGGUGAAGUGAACGGUGUCCCGCAGGAAAAUACUGACCCCGAAACGUUUAAUGUCCUGGAGGUGCCAGGAUCUGUACCUGAUUCUCUGGCUGUAGAAGAUGACAUUAGAGCUGAAAUGCCACACUGUCACUAUGCAUAUGGGCAGGAGCUGCUCAAUGGAGUGAGGGAAGCUGUGAGAGGCAGUGAUGUCACGGGACUCGAAGAUGAGCCUUGUCCUGCAGAUGAUGGACCAUAUAGCACACAGAUACCCUUCCAAGAACAGGACAGCUCUCUUAGGGUGCAGGAUGGGGAAGAUGUCCAACCCAUUGGCCCCCAAAGCACUUUUUGUGAAGCGCCCCUCCUGAACUCACUCACCGUGCCUUCCAGCCUCAGCUUGGCCCCAAGUGCUGGGCAGUGGCUACCUGGGACCGGAGCUGAUGAAGGCAGCCCUGUGGAGCCCAGCCAAGAGCAGGACGUCCUAACCAGCAUGGAGGCCUCUGGCCACCUCAGCACAAAUCUCUGGCAUGCUGGCACUGAUGAUGACAUAGGUCAGAAAGAAACACCCAUUUCUGAACGUGACUUAGGGAGUGUGGGAGGACAGUUGACUCCGGUCUCUGCCUUGGCGGCCAGCACUCCCAAGCCCUGGCUUGAGCAGCCUCCACGGGAUCAGGCAUUGACGUCUAGUGAUGAGGAGGACAUCUAUGCCCACGGGCUUCCUUCUUCAUCCUCAGAGACGAGUGUGACAGAGCUCGGACCUAGUCGCUCCCAGCAGGACCUGAGCCGGCUGGGUGCAGAUGAUGCCGGGCUGCUCAAGCCGGAUCAGUUUGCAGAAAGCUGGAUGGGCUACUCGGGUCCCGGCUAUGGCAUCCUCAGCUUGGUGGUCUCCGAGAAGUAUAUCUGGUGCCUGGACUACAAAGGCGGCCUGUUCUGCAGCGCGUUGCCGGGCGCCGGGCUGCGCUGGCAGAAGUUUGAAGAUGCUGUCCAGCAGGUGGCAGUCUCACCCUCAGGAGCCCUUCUCUGGAAGAUUGAACAGAAAUCUAACCGGGCUUUUGCUUGUGGGAAAGUCACCAUCAAGGGGAAGCGGCACUGGUACGAAGCCCUGCCCCAGGCAGUGUUUGUGGCCCUGAGCGAUGACACCGCCUGGAUCAUCAGGACCAGUGGGGACUUAUACUUGCAGACAGGUCUGAGCGUGGAUCGCCCUUGUGCCAGAGCCGUAAAGGUGGACUGUCCCUACCCGCUGUCCCAGAUCACAGCCCGGAACAAUGUGGUGUGGGCGCUGACAGAGCAGAGGGCCCUCCUGUACCGGGAGGGUGUGAGCAGCUUCUGUCCAGAAGGCGAGCAGUGGAAGUGUGACAUCAUCAGUGAAAGGCAAGCUUUAGAACCCGUCUGCAUAACGCUCGGGGAUCAGCAGACUCUCUGGGCCCUGGACAUCCAUGGGAACCUGUGGUUCAGAACUGGCAUUGUUUCCAAGACACCCCAAGGAGAUGAUGACCAUUGGUGGCAAGUGAGCAUCACGGACUAUGUGGUGUUUGACCAGUGCAGCUUAUUUCAGACGAUAAUCCAUGCUACUCACUCGGUGGCCACAGCUGCCCAAGCCCCUGUAGAAAAGGUGGCAGAUAAACUGCGCAUGGCGUUUUGGUCCCAGCAGCUUCAGUGCCAGCCAAGCCUUCUCGGGGUCAAUAACAGUGGCGUCUGGAUCUCCUCAGGCAAGAAUGAAUUCCACGUCGCUAAGGGAAGUCUCAUAGGCACCUACUGGAAUCAUGUUGUUCCCCGUGGGACAGCUUCUGCUACAAAAUGGGCCUUUGUGUUGGCUUCUGCGGCUCCCACGAAGGAAGGAAGCUUCUUGUGGCUGUGCCAGAGCAGCAAGGACCUCUGCAGCGUCAGCGCCCAGAGUGCACAGUCACGGCCCUCCACGGUGCAGCUGCCUCCCGAUGCCGAGAUGCGCGCCUACGCCGCCUGCCAGGAUGCGCUGUGGGCGCUGGACAGCCUCGGCCAGGUCUUCAUCAGGACGCUCUCCAAGAGCUGCCCCACGGGCAUGCACUGGACCAGGCUGGACCUCUCCCAGCUAGGAGCUGUGAAAUUGACAAGCUUGGCAUGUGGAAAUCAGCACAUCUGGGCCUGUGAUUCCAGGGGUGGAGUUUACUUCCGUGUAGGGACUCAGCCUCUCAAUCCCAGUCUCAUGCUUCCAGCCUGGAUAAUGAUUGAGCCACCUGUCCAGCCCGCCGGGGUCAACUUGGUCAGCGUCCAUUCCAGCCCCAAUGACCAGAUGCUGUGGGUGCUUGACAGCAGGUGGAACGUGCAUGUGCGGACCGGGAUCACCGAGGAGAUGCCUGUGGGGACCGCCUGGGAGCAAGUGCCAGGGUUGCAGGCCUGCCAGCUGGCGCUGAGCACCAGGACCGUGUGGGCCCGCUGUCCAAACGGAGACCUCGCCCGGAGGUAUGGCAUCACAGACAAGAACCCCGCUGGAGACUACUGGAAGAAAAUUCCGGGCAGUGUGGCGUGUUGCACAGUGACUGCGUCAGAUGAGCUGUGGGCUGUGGGCCCGCCCGGCUACCUCCUCCGACGGCUGACAAAGACGUUCAGCCACUCGCAUGGCACCCAGAAGAGCAGCCAGGCCGCCAUGCCCCACCCUGAGGAUCUGGAGGACGAGUGGGAGGUCAUCUGAAGGAGCCCUGGCAGAGUCACGCGGAGGGGCCAGGCCUCCCUGGCGGGCACAGUGGCUUCGGUGUCACUCCCUGGUGGAUGUGCUGCCUCGACACUUGUCCAGACACCUCUGGCCAGGAAGAUCCUUGUUCUGAAUAGGAUUUGAGGUAACUUAGGAAACUGCUCUCAAUACGGAAUUUGAAAGUUGGUGAAGAAGUCGACAGAAGGGGAAGUCACAGUAGGAAAAUCAAGUUACUAUCGGGAUGAAGUCAGCACGCAGAGCAAGCCCAGCAAGGCCCAGGCACCAGAAGGCCUUGGUCCCUGCCCACCUUGCGCAGGCCAGCCAGACAACACGGACUGCCCUAGAAGGUCCCCUCAGGGAGAUGGGGGUGGUCUCUCACUGCUGGAUAUUGAUGAGCCCAGGAGGGCUAAGCCUUCACUAUCCUCCCUAACAGACAUUUGGGGUGCAGAGAUGCUGAUCCCUGAAUAGAGUUGGGAUUCAGGGUCCUUGGGAACAUUGGGCACCUGGUGGGUGGGUGGGUGGGUGGAGGGGCAGGACUGGCUGCAGCCAUGUUUCCCUUAGAAACAGACUGGUGGAAUUAACGAACUAAAUAAAUGAACCAAGGUUCUUUGCCUCUGCAAAAAAGUGAGUUUUGUUCUGCGUGGAGCGACUGCCUUUGGGAAGCCACCAAGGCCACCUGCCAACAGGCAAAAGCUGUGCUGCUCUCUCCCUGGCUGCCUCCGGCCCUCCCAGUCCUGCAAGCUCAUGGCCAGGACGAUAAGGAUGA